UUAAUUUGAAAAACCUGAAUCACACCACUAAAAGUUACUAGAUUUAGAGAACAGCCCUGAUUAAGAGUGUGUUCCGAAAUCGUUGUGUUCAAAAUCUGAAUAUUAACUUCAAAACGGCUUUUCAUUGGCCCAGGUGACAAUCAUGGAACUGAAAUAAGUCAAAAGGUUAUGUUUCUAUUUAUAAAUAAUAAAUGUGGUAACCUGCUAAAUAAUUAUGUGAAUAAGUGGUACUUACCGUUUAUUUAUAAUAUGAGAAAUUAAUAACCACAUAGCGUAAGAAUAGCUAUCCUAUCACAAGGUUCUAUCGGACAAGAUCUUUCUACGCCAUAAGCUUCAAGAGCAUUCAAUGACUCGGUUUAAAAUUACUUUACAAUUGAGAAGGAGCUACUUACUAUUGUUUGGGCAACAAAAUAUUUUCGUCCAUAUUUAUAGGACCGUCAGUUCAAUAUAAUAAUAGAUAAUAAACCUCUUGUGUGGUUAAACUCUUUAAAAGAACCAAAUUCUAAAUUACUACGUUGGCGAAUUAAAUUAGAAGAAUUUGAUUAUAAAAUUUUCUACAGAAAAGGAAAAUCAAAUAAUGCAGAUUGUUUAUUGCGAAUAGAACUCCAUACUUAUGAUAUCAAUUUAUUUGGAACGAUAAGGCAUUUUGGAAAUGUGUCGAUGAAAUUUUAGGCGAAACAUCAAAUUAUUAAAAUAACCCUAUUACGUCCGAACAAGCGAAUCAAACAUUAAAUACCCAUUCACCAACUACCAAUAAACUAAUAAACGACAAUACCCUACAAGAUAAUGACGAUUGUUCAAUGAUAGCAUUGUAUGAAGAGUAGGAUAGGUUAACCUUAUGAGGAUAUCAUUUGACGAGGUGGACGCCACUAAUAGAUGGCAUUGGAGAGUUGGCGUCCACAGCACGUCUUUUCUACUGUACAUCGUAGCUUGAAUUACGUGAUUUCUUAGUUUUGGUUGCCGAAUUACCCCAAUAACAGAUGGCGCCAAAAUUAUUUAAAAUAUUAUAUUCAACCCUUAAGCUGUGUUGUAAAUUUUCUUAUUUUGGGUGUCUAUAGCAAAGUUGCAAUUUGAGUUCAUUAUUGUAUUGUGUUCGUUGAGUUUCGUUGGUUGUGCAUUUGGAUUAUUUUUUUAUUUGAGAAUAUUUGAACUUGGAUAUAUAUUUCAUUUUUAAGAAAUGGCUGGAAAUAAGAGUGUUUAUUUCAAGUGUGGACUAAGUAAGAGAUCAGAUCCUACAAUUAAAAUGUACCGAUUUCCUAUGAAUGACCCUACUAGAUGUCAAAAAUGGAUCAUACACUCGGCUAACCUGUCUGGAUUACAGCCUGUUGUAGGAUAACCAAUGAGGUACCUAGUAGUGUAUAUCUCUAAUAUUUACAAGUGGUCACUCUGAGAGCAGUU